GAUGAACGCUGGCGGCGUGCCUAAUACAUGCAAGUCGAGCGAACAGAUGAGGAGCUUGCUCCUCUGACGUUAGCGGCGGACGGGUGAGUAACACGUGGAUAACCUACCUAUAAGACUGGGAUAACUUCGGGAAACCGGAGCUAAUACCGGAUAAUAUAUUGAACCGCAUGGUUCAAUAGUGAAAGACGGUUUUGCUGUCACUUAUAGAUGGAUCCGCGCCGCAUUAGCUAGUUGGUAAGGUAACGGCUUACCAAGGCAACGAUGCGUAGCCGACCUGAGAGGGUGAUCGGCCACACUGGAACUGAGACACGGUCCAGACUCCUACGGGAGGCAGCAGAAGGGAAUCUUACGCAAUGGGCGAAAGCCUGACGGAGCAACGCCGCGUGAGUGAUGAAGGUCUUCGGAUCGUAAAACUCUGUUAUUAGGGAAGAACAAAUGUGUAAGUAACUAUGCACGUCUUGACGGUACCUAAUCAGAAAGCCACGGCUAACUACGUG
rnacentral:rRNA from 1 species